rnacentral:rRNA from 1 species
UGCGUAGGUGGUCAGGUAAGUCUGAUGUGAAAUCUCUGAGCUCAACUCAGAAACUGCAUUGGAUACUAUCUGGCUUGAGGAGUGGAGGGGGGACUGGAAUACUUGGUGUAGCAGUGAAAUGCGUAGAUAUCAAGUGGAACACCAGUGGCGAAGGCGAGUCCCUGGACACUUCCUGACACUGAGGCACGAAAGCUAGGGGAGCAAACA